UUGUAGGUGCCUAGGUGGGUGUCUUUACAAAAACGCGUACUCUCUGUUUGGCCCCACACGUUUUCCCCUCCCUCUCUCUCUCUCUCUCUCUCUCUUUCUCUUUCUUUCUCUCUUUCCUUUGCAAACCAGAGGGUUUUUAGUACAGUUUUGUACCUUGUUUCUCUCUCUCUCUCUUCCCCAUACUGCCACCUCACUCCUCUCUUUUCUUACCAUUCAAGUUUCUUUUCUUGAUCCUUCUCUCCCUUCUUGUUUUGUGGGUUCUGGGUACUCGUAUAUAUAUAUAUAAAAAGAAAUUUUGGGACUUGUUUGUUUUGAUGGCGGCGUAUCAGAUGAGUCCAGGUGGGAGUAGUAGUGGUGGAGGUUCGGGUUCACCGUUUGCGGGCCGGGGCCCAUAUGGGGUUGGGGAUACGACAUAUACCAAGGUUUUUGUUGGUGGGUUAGCUUGGGAGACUAAGAGUGAAUCACUCCGCCGUUAUUUUGAACAGUUUGGUGAUAUUAUCGAAGCUGUUGUCAUCACUGAUAAACAUACUGGACGCUCUAAAGGCUAUGGCUUUGUGACAUUUCAUGAUCCUGAAGCUGCAUGGAGGGCUUGCGCCAAUCCUAAUCCGAUCAUUGAUGGUAGAAGGGCUAAUUGCAACUUGGCUUCACUUGGGCGACCUCAAGGACUUUUACCUUAUGGACGUUUGAGAUCGUCAAUGCCCUAUCUGGGAAAUCCACAGGCCCCGAGGGGUUUGUAUAUGGGGGGCCCCUAUUAUCAGCUACCAGUUCCUUACAGCUAUCAGCCUGGAUUCUCAUAUCCUCCAUAUAGGUUUCCUGCAUAUGGGCCAGACUAUGUUUACCCACAGAUGUAUGGGAUGCCAAGUACUGUUGGCACAAACACAUUGCAAUUUGGCCAACUUGGUGCACAACCGGGCAGUCCUGCAUAUGCAUUUCGCGGUUUGAUGCCAGGUCCUCAGAUGGUGCAAUAUCAGAGACCUAAUGCCAGCGGAACUACGACAGACAGUGUUCCCCUGUUGCAACUGCCAUAUCAUUCAGUGAAGGUGCUUGAUUACCCCAUUUCUUCAGGGAUCACUAUGCCAUCUCCUCAUCAGUCACAGACUGCAGUACAAACUCGCCCACCGCAAUUCAGUCAGAGCAGUGGCUCUGAACAAAUGGCAGGUUGAAUGGUUUAACUGGAUGUAUCAUGGAUGAAUUCAAGGAAUUGGCUCGCUGUUAUUUGUGUGGUAAGACUUUGAACAUGACCUUGAGCGUCAGAUUGGAGGCAAACAGAGGUCUUCCAAAGUCAUGGCCACCAAGAACUCGAGGGAAUCACUUGUAAAAUACCAAGAAGUUCAGAUAACCAUAUCAGCAAUGAGGAAGUGCCUGGACUUCUCUUUCGCAGUCUAUGGACAAUCCUGCCAGAACUUCAAGUCACUAAUUGAUUAAGUACAUAAUUUAAUUGAUUGUGGGGAGAUGGUCCCCCAAUCAGGUUUAGUAGAAUCAACAUAUGAUUCUUUAAAUAGACCUGGGUCAUCCUGGUCUGUAGGUGCACACUUCUCUUUGGUAUCCAUUUGACUUGUCCGUCUUUUAUUUAUUUUUCUUUUUGGUGUUCCGAUCUCCUUAGGGAUAGGGGAUCAAUAUCCAUGUCUUCACCUCCAUCUGUUAACUGCUAUUUUGUAGGGACCGUUCUCUUUUUGUCGUUUUUAUGUUUUUUCAA